rnacentral:tRNA from 1 species
GCGCGUGUGGCGGAAUGGCAUACGCAGGGGACUUAAAACCCCCGGCCCGGAAGUGAUUGUCGGUUCGACUCCGACCUAGCGCACCA